GAAGUUCUACGAGGAUAAGCUGGCUGAGCAAGCUCACGUUCUGGCCGAGCGAACCCAUGUUCUUGAAGAAGUUCAAGCGCUCCGGGCCGGUGAAGUUGCUCACCUCACUGAGGAGCUCAAAGCGAAAGAAGAAGAAGCGGUGACAAGGGAGGCCGGUGCUUAUGUGAAUGCUCACAGGGAUCUCCUGGCCGAGCUCAAGAAGCGGUACCCCGAGGAGGACUUCUCUUGGAUGGUAGAUCUGGCUCCCCAGGACGAGGGCGAGGAUAGCGAGGAGGAGGCUGAG
rnacentral:misc_RNA from 1 species